rnacentral:rRNA from 1 species
CCCUUAGAUGUUCUGGGCUACACGCGUGCUACACUGAUAUUGCCAAUAUGUCAUUCUUAUCCGAAAUGGAUUGGGUAAUCAAGUAAUGAAAUUUCAUGCUUGGAAUCGGUAAUUGCAAUUUUAUCGUGAACGAGGAAUUCCUAGUAAGCACUAGUCAUCAGCUAAUGUUGAUUAUGUCCCUGCCCUUUGUACACACCGCCCGUCGCUACUACUGAUUGGGUGUUCAAGUGAGAUGCUUAGACCCUUGUUGCAUGGUUCAUUAUUGUGCUCCGAAAGGAAAAAGUUUCAAGCUUGAGUGUCUAGAGGAAGUAAAAGUCGUAACA